GACAGCUCAGUCGGUUAGAGCAUGGUGCUGAUGACACCAAGGUCGCAGCUUCGAUCCCCAUAUGGGGCAACU